rnacentral:lncRNA from 1 species
UGUAGGUAGAUGCAAUAGCCACCCUACCUUAGAAACCAUGUCUCAAAUAGAAACCAAUAUCCUUGUGACAGUCUCAGCUUCUACGUCCUUGUAAAGGACAUGCCCAGUUAUAAGAAUUCUCUCAUUCGGAGAAGCCCAAAGUGAUGGCUUCUCAUCAAGUAUUUGUAGUUCAUUCGUAGUCCUCCAAGUAAUGACUCAGCUUACCAAUCAAAUGUCAUUUUAUCACAUCAUCAUUUUAUCAUAGCAGUGUUGCUUGGUAACACAACUGACAUUCUACCUCCAUUAGAUUUCUAGAGAACUGAGCUAGAAGCAUCUUAACCCAAGGCCAAUUUCUCAUGUAAAAGGGGAAAGAGUUUUGUGAAACCUUUACCCACAAGCAUAAUGAGUCUUAAACUCAGUAUUUUACCUCCAAAAAUACUACUGGGAAGAAAUAGAAAUGAAUUUGGACAAAUUCAUGAAUAACAUGGUUAGAAAAAGCUUUUCAGAAAGUUAACAAGAAGGACAUGUGGCCAGAGAUGAAAUAAUCGAGAAGUUGCUAAGGAUGCUCUCACACACAUCCUAAAUAUCAGUGAAGCUACAUGGAGUCCUGGUUCAUAAAGAUUUCCCUUAAAAUGUCAAAGUUUGAUUCUUAAAAUAAAC